rnacentral:rRNA from 1 species
AUUGAACGCUGGCGGCAUGCUUUACACAUGCAAGUCGAACGGUAACAGGUUAAGCUGACGAGUGGCGAACGGGUGAGUAAUGCAUCGGAACGUGCCCGAUCGUGGGGGAUAACGCAGCGAAAGCUGCGCUAAUACCGCAUACGAUCUGAGGAUGAAAGCGGGGGACCGUAAGGCCUCGCGCGAUCGGAGCGGCCGAUGUCAGAUUAGGUAGUUGGUGGGGUAAAGGCCCACCAAGCCGACGAUCUGUAGCUGGUCUGAGAGGAAGACCAGCCACACUGGGACUGAGACACGGCCCAGACUCCUACGGGAGGCAGCAGUGGGGAAUUUUGGACAAUGGGCGAAAGCCUGAUCCAGCAAUGCCGCGUGCAGGAAGAAGGCCUUCGGGUUGUAAACUGCUUUUGUACGGAGCGAAAAGGCUCUCUCUAAUACAGGGGGCUCAUGACGGUACCGUAAGAAUAAGCACCGGCUAACUACGUGCCAGCCGCCGCAGUAAAAC